UGAUUGGCGAGAAAAAAAAAGAGUGGAGUGGAUGGCCAGACGAGACUGUUGAGGCAGCACGCUGAAACAAGAGGGAGGAGAGUUCAUUGCCAGGAGAGACUGUUUAGGUUGCACGCCGAAACAAGAAGAGGACAGUGCAUUGUAAGGAGAGACUGUUGAGGCAGCACGCCGAAACAAGACAGAAAGAGAAAAGAGAGGUGCUGUUGAGGCAAAACGCUGAAACAAGACAGAAAGAGAAAAAGGGGCGCUGCUGAGGCAAGAUGCCGAAGCAAGAUGGAAAGACAGACAGAAGAACUAACUUUAGCACACGUCUAAAACAUAAAAGGAGUUGGGUGAUAAAGGGAAAGCUGUCAGGCAGGACACAAGUGCAGAAAUGGCUAUCAGUGAGUAAAGUGGUUGUUUGAGAAAGAGGGAGACGGAAGCAUAAAGGAGGUACCCGAGUAUAAGGAGGAAGAAAUAAAACAAGCUGUCUACAGACCAGAGAGAGCAAAAGGACUGUAGAGUAAGAUGAACAGUGAAGUUGGCGAAGACAUGAGGUUCACAGCCAGUCUCCUUGAAAACUGAGCCUGCCGCCUUAACAAGUUUGUCCAGGCGUGAGAC